rnacentral:lncRNA from 1 species
AUCUCCUGCACUGUGAUGUUGUCAAUGGAAUCUAAGGAGAAGCUGAACUUCUCUUCUCUCCCAGGAGCAAUGAGGUGCUACAAGUAACUCCUCCCUUGACCCUUCCUUGGUGUUGACUUGGUCCAGUGGAGAGCUGAGCUUUGGUCCCCACCUGGCAGCAGCAAAUAUGUGUGACGUUAGACAGUUUCAAUAUGGGCAUAAAGAGAAAAGUACAUUUCUGACAAAGUUGAACAGAAUAAUGGAUUGAAAAAUUCUCUUAUCCCAAAGCUGCAGAAUCUUGUGCAGUUUGGUAAAGAAGUCCCGCAUGGUCUGGCAAGCACAUCUUGGGACUUACUCCAUGAAUCACCAACAUUUCUGCUCAUUUUGCAGUGAACCUUAUGAUACUUAUGAACUGAGGAAUUCAAUUGCUGAUCAAGAAAUUGCAUCCGAUUAAUCAUUCGUAGAAGGCCUUCCUAUAUAAUCACUAUUCUUUUCCGGGUGGAAGAUAGCUCUCUUUUGCAGAACCCUUCUGCCCUAUACAGACUCCUGUCUC